rnacentral:rRNA from 1 species
GAUGAACGCUGGCGGCGUGCUUAACACAUGCAAGUCGAACGAAGCAACUUAUCACGAUCCCUUCGGGGUGACGAUUUGUUGACUGAGUGGCGGACGGGUGAGUAACGCGUGGGUAACCUACCUUGUACAGGGGGACAACAGUUGGAAACGACUGCUAAUACCGCAUAAGCGCACGAUAUCGCAUGAUAUAGUGUGAAAAGUUUUUCGGUACAAGAUGGACCCGCGUCUGAUUAGCUAGUUGGUGAGGUAACGGCUCACCAAGGCGACGAUCAGUAGCCGACCUGAGAGGGUGACCGGCCACAUUGGGACUGAGACACGGCCCAAACUCC